UGGGGAAUAUUGCACAAUGGGCGCAAGCCUGAUGCAGCGACGCCGCGUGGGGGAUGACGGCCUUCGGGUUGUAAACUCCUUUCGCUAGGGACGAAGCUUUUUGUGACGGUACCUAGAUAAGAAGCACCGGCUAACUUCGUGCCAGCAGCCGCGGUAAUACGUAGGGUGCGAGCGUUGUCCGGAAUUACUGGGCGUAAAGGGCUCGUAGGUGGUUUGUCGCGUCGUCUGUGAAAUUCCGGGGCUUAACUCCGGGCGUGCAGGCGAUACGGGCAUAACUUGAGUACUGUAGGGGUAACUGGAAUUCCUGGUGUAGCGGUGAAAUGCGCAGAUAUCAGGAGGAACACCGAUGGCGAAGGCAGGUUACUGGGCAGUUACUGACGCUGAGGAGCGAAAGCAUGGGUAGCGAACAGG
rnacentral:rRNA from 1 species